GGGGAUGUGGCUCAAGUGGUAGUGCGCUCGCCUCGCAUGCGAGUGGCCUGGGUUCGAUCCUCAGCACCA
rfam:Ictidomys tridecemlineatus contig058022, whole genome shotgun sequence.